UACAGAGGUCUCAAGCGUUGUUCGGAUUCAUUGGGCGUAAAGGGUGCGUAGGCGGCGCGGUAAGUCGGGUGUGAAAUCUCGGAGCUUAACUCCGAAACUGCAUUCGAUACUGCCGUGCUUGAGGACUGGAGAGGAGACUGGAAUUUACGGCGUAGCGGUGAAAUGCGUAGAUAUCGUAAGGAAGACCAGUGGCGAAGGCGGGUCUCUGGACAGUUCCUGACGCUGAGGCACGAAGGUCAGGGGAGUAAACGGG
rnacentral:rRNA from 1 species